GUCCUUUUGUAGAUAAUUUAAGGUCUAGCCUGCCCACUGAAAUUUUAAAUGGCCGUGGUAUUUUGACCGUGCUAAGGUAGCAUAAUCAUUAGUUUUUUAAUUAAAAACUGGAAUGAAAGGUUGGAUGAGAAAAUAGCUGUCUCUAUUAAAUUUAAUUAGAAUUUUAUUUUUAAGUUAAAAAGCUUAAUUAUUAUUAAAAGACGAGAAGACCCUAUAGAGUUUAAUUAUUUAAUAAAAAUUAUAUUUUAGUAUUAAUUUAUUUAUUUUAUUAAAUAAUUUAAUUGGGGUGAUUGAAAAAUUUAAUAAACUUUUUUUAUUUAAGAACAUUAAUUUAUGAAUAAGUGAYCCAAUAUUUUUGAUUAUAAGAUAAAAUUACCUUAGGGAUAACAGCGUAAUUUUUUUAGAAAGUUCAUAUUAAAAAAAAAGAUUGCGACCUCGAUGUUGGAUUAAAAUAAAUUUUUGGUGUAGAAGCUAAAAUAUUAGGUCUGUUCGACCUUUAAAAUUUUAC
rnacentral:rRNA from 1 species